ensembl:lncRNA
AUAUGUGAUUGCCUAGCAUCACUGUAGCCAUCUACACAAGUUUGCCCAAGUACACUUUGAUGCUUCCAUGACAAAGUCACCCAACACAUUUUUCCGCAUGUGUCUCCAUUGGUUAACAAUGCAGAGGUAUAUUUUCUGUAACUGAGCACAAGUAAAUAUGAAGUAUAAAACUACAUAGCUAACAAGUUACAAAAAUAGAUAUUUAUUGUGUUUCAAUGCUUGUAUUAUACAGUCACAAUACAUUUAAGUCUUUGUGUUAAAUAUAAAUUAAAUGAACACCAAAAAACUAUAAACAAAUUGGGAAAACUGCCAGAAAAUCCUUCCAAGCCAUGACUCAUUAAAACUGUACAAUGGGGGGCGGGGAUUUAGCUCAGUGGUUCCGGCACCUGCCUCACAAGUGCAACGUCUGGAGUUUGAUCCCCGGUACCAGAAAACCAAAAACUGUACAAUAGGAUGAUGUCGUUGGCAGCACAGCAGCCAUGUGUAAAUGUUGAAAACCACAAUACAGGAGAAAGUGACUCAGAAUGAAGCCAUGGUGGGUUUCACUAUCUACAAUGAGUUGGUCAAUGAGAUGCCUCAGCAAAGGCACAUCUUUUGUGUAGAGCCAAGGGUUGCAUCAUUAAGCCACAGGUUAACUCCAUACCAGCACAGGGGAAUGCACCCACAAGAUGAGCCACACUGCCUGAGAAUAUGAAUUUCAGAGGACCUAGUAUUGAGAAGAACAUCCACUUCACCUCCAAAAGCCUUUACAGAGCCCUAACUUAAAAGCAGAUGACCAAAACCGACUGGAUGGGACUAUGUCCUCAAUAUUCACAAACAGCAAAACAUACUCUUAAACAAGGAAACUUGCUGCAUUUCAAAAGGAAAGGGUUCAGAGUGCUGAUCCCAAGAGAGGACAAGUUACUGCAGCCCAAACACCGAGUCUUCAGUCAGUUCUGCGGCUGCAUCUGAGGCACGUGAGCCCUGUGCUCCUGAGUCUUCCUCAUGGAGCUGUGCUGUGCACGGUUUCCACUGCCUUCCUCAUGCAGGUGGUUUGACAGCUAUAGAAUGUGCUAAGAACCACACAUAUGCUGAGCCCCCACACAGGGCAGAGCCCAGCCCUAGCAGUUUCCACCCCAUACCAGGACCUGGCUGUAUGCCUACAGUCCAGAACUUAGCAGCAGUCCCUCUCUCUCAGGGCUGGAGGAUGGCCUAUGCACUGCCACCACCAUUUCCCAGAAAGUGCACAUGGAAACAAACCCAAUGGCGUCAGUUACGAGACUCAGAGGCAGUGGGGCUGCGGACUGUGGACAUGAGGUGUGACUUGUAGGUCUUGCUUAGGCCUGUCAUCCAGAAUUUCAGCAGCUUGACAUUGUCCUCCUCGGCAGCACCCAGGACGCUCAGGAGCUUCUGUGUGUCUUCCUUGGGCCGACUGUCCACCUUGGUGAAUUUAAAGAGGACCUUCACUUUGCUGCAGAAAACCAAAAACACACACUCAGGUUAUACCCUAAGUACCAGAGCUCAUGGGGCUGAAAUGGAUUCUACACUAACGGGACGCUGCAGGCCCAGCUGGGAUUCCCAUACUCAAGAGGCGGAAGGAGCUCAGCACAGGAGCAGGUGCAUGUGCACACCAAGGGUAAGCUCAUCCUGUCAACACAGCAAGGAGAAAGACAGUGCUGUAUACCUGCAGCUCCUAUAACUUACGAGGCUGACGCAGGAGGACUGUUUGAGUACAGGAGUCUAAGGUCAUUCUGGGUAACACAGUGAGACCCACUUCAAAAAGAAAAAAGGGAAUGGGUAGACCUGUCCUUCAAUUCAAGGAAAA